rnacentral:rRNA from 1 species
ACUCAAUCAUGUGCAGAGGGGAAUAGCAGGUUAUGCGUCUCCGUUAGAGACUACUACUGUUACAUGCUGCAAACACGGCCUGCGAUCUUCAAUCCCAUACUCUGUGGAGCACGCCUGCUGCAGCAAUGGGCGGUCGACAUGUACAUCAAGAUUGAGAGUUGUCGGUUGAGGUGGUAUAGGAAGAACCAGACGUAGAUUCGUGCCGACUUGUAUAAAGGAGUUGUUGAUGCGAUCACAUCGGGGGAGACGAGAGCAAGCGCUGUUGGCACCCGAAUAGUU